CCGGGCAGCUGCAGCUCUGAUUCGAUUUUAAGCCUGGCAACUUCCAUAUGCUGCCGGUGUGGCCCUAAAAAAAAAAAAAAAGAAAGAAAAAAAAAAGCGAUAAGUGAUUGUGAGGUCUAUUGAGAAACUACAAAAAACAGUGAUAUCUCUGUUGCUUUUAGUUCUUUCUAUGAAGGAAGAAGAGAUGAGGGAGAGAGAGAGUGAAGAUGCCCAUGCAGCCUCAGGUCCUAAGAGCAUCAUCCAACAAGAUGAACAGGAUCCGCCCCUCCAACGCCUUCCUGGGACAGUCCAGCAGGACAGCAGGUUACAAAAGUUGCACCGGGAAACUAGACCUUGCUCACCUAAAGGGUGGUCAGGAGCCAAGGGUCCUUGCAAUCAGAUUACCCAAGGAACAGCUGAAGGAAGUACACGUCCUUAACCAGGUGGGGGGGAAAGAAAAAGAACCCAGGGGAGAGUGAUGGGGAGGCACGAGGGCUCUUUUCUUUUUUCCUUUUUUUUGGUCACACCUGUGGCAUGUGGAGGUUCCCAGGUUAGGAACCAAACCAGCAGCAACAAUGCUAGAUCCUUAACCAGUAGGCCACCAGGGAACUCCUGGAGGCUCUUUUUAAAUGCUAAAAGAACCGCUAUGUACAUGGUGGAGGGUAAUUGUUCUUUCUUUCUGGGUCUCUAAUGAAGGAACUAAAAGGAAACCAACUUCAGCUCGUUAUAAAGAAAUAGAGAUUUCAGAGUCAGUGUCUUCUGAUGGCUUAAGUUUUUAGACAUUAGUUCGAAUGUGACUUCAUUGCUUUCUAGCUGUUUGACCUUUGGCAAGUUAUGUUAACUCCUGAUAUCUUAACUUUGGACGUAUAAUGUGGAGGUGAUAAUGAUCUAGUGGUUUGUAACUUAUGCAGAGGUUAGUCUAAGUCAGAGAGCUUACGGCCAAAACUGCCAAUAAUCGUAAUGAACCUUUGAAAUUCCUUCAAUUAAACUUAAAUCACAAGGACUUGGGCUCUUUGAAACUCAAAAUCCAACAGCUAAUUUCUUUUCUCUCCUCGCACUGGGCUGUUGCUUUAUUUCCUUGGGCCUUCAUAGGUCAAAGUUUAGUUUAAAAGGAGGAAGCACAGGUAAGUUUUUUUUUUUUUUUUUUUUUCUCACUUUCUUUUAUUCUCAGCAUACAUAGUUGAACUGUCACAUGUUACAUGUGAGAAUAAGGCAUACAUUUAAUGCCAUUGGGGGGAGAAUAAAGUAAUCGUGGACGCGGGUUCA
rnacentral:lncRNA from 1 species